rnacentral:rRNA from 1 species
GAUGAACGCUAGCGACAGGCUUAACACAUGCAAGUCGAGGGGCAUCGGGGAGGCGGUUUCGGCCGCCUCCGCCGGCGACCGGCGCACGGGUGAGUAACACGUAUGCAACCUGGCCCGCGGACGGGGACAACCCGGGGAAACCCGGACUAAUACCCGGCGGGGCCUGGAGGGGGCAUCCCCUCCCGGCUGAAGGAGGCGACUCCGCCGCGGGAUGGGCAUGCGGCGCAUUAGCUUGUUGGCGGGGCAACGGCCCACCAAGGCGACGAUGCGUAGGGGUUCUGAGAGGAAGGUCCCCCACACUGGAACUGAGACACGGUCCAGACUCCUACGGGAGGCAGCAGUGAGGAAUAUUGGUCAAUGGGCGGAAGCCUGAACCAGCCAAGUCGCGUGAGGGAAUAAGGCCCUGCGGGUCGUAAACCUCUUUUGCCGGGGAGCAGUGGCGGGCACGGGUGCCCGCCGGGAGAGUACCCGGAGAAAAAGCAUCGGCUAACUCCGUGCCAGCAGCCGCGGUAAUACGGAGGAUGCGAGCGUUAUCCGGAUUUAUUGGGUUUAAAGGGUGCGCAGGCGGCCUUUCAGGCCGGCGGUAAAAUUGCGGGGCUCAACCCCGUAUAGCCGUCGGAACCGGAGGGCUGGAGUGGGCGAGAGGUACGCGGAACGCGUGGUGUAGCGGUGAAAUGCAUAGAUAUCACGCAGAACCCCGAUUGCGAAGGCAGCGUACCGGCGCCCUACUGACGCUGAGGCACGAAAGCGCGGGGAUCGAACAGGAUUAGAUACCCUGGUAGUCCGCGCAGUAAACGAUGAAUGCUCGCCGUCCGGCCCGAGUGAGGGCUGGGGGGCCAAGCGAAAGCGUUAAGCAUUCCACCUGGGGAGUACGCCGGCAACGGUGAAACUCAAAGGAAUUGACGGGGGCCCGCACAAGCGGAGGAACAUGUGGUUUAAUUCGAUGAUACGCGAGGAACCUUACCCGGGCUCAAACGCCCGCCGGACCGUCCCUGAAAGGGGUCGGGCCCUUCGGGGCGGCGGGCGAGGUGCUGCAUGGUUGUCGUCAGCUCGUGCCGUGAGGUGUCGGCUUAAGUGCCAUAACGAGCGCAACCCCCUCCGACAGUUGCCACCGGGUAGAGCCGGGCACUCUGUCGGGACUGCCGGCGCAAGCCGCGAGGAAGGCGGGGAUGACGUCAAAUCAGCACGGCCCUUACGUCCGGGGCGACACACGUGUUACAAUGGCGGCCACAGCGGGAAGCCACCUGGCGACAGGGAGCGGAACCCGAAAAGCCGCCCCAGUUCGGAUCGGAGUCUGCAACCCGACUCCGUGAAGCUGGAUUCGCUAGUAAUCGCGCAUCAGCCACGGCGCGGUGAAUACGUUCCCGGGCCU